AUUGAACGCUGGCGGCAUGCCUUACACAUGCAAGUCGAACGGCAGCAUAGGAGCUUGCUCCUGAUGGCGAGUGGCGAACGGGUGAGUAAUAUAUCGGAACGUGCCCUAGAGUGGGGGAUAACUAGUCGAAAGACUAGCUAAUACCGCAUACGAUCUACGGAUGAAAGUGGGGGAUCGCAAGACCUCAUGCUCCUGGAGCGGCCGAUAUCUGAUUAGCUAGUUGGUGGGGUAAAAGCCUACCAAGGCAACGAUCAGUAGCUGGUCUGAGAGGACGACCACCCACACUGGAACGGAGACGCGGCCCAGACUCCUACGGGAGGCAGCAGUGGGGAAUUUUGGACAAUGGGGGCAACCCUGUUCCAGCAAUGCCGCGUGAGUGAAGAAGGCCUUCGGUUUGUAAAGCUCUUUUGUCAGGGAAGAAACGGUAGUAGCGAAUAACUAUUACUAAUGACGGUACCUGAAGAAUAAGCACCGGCUAACUACGUGCCAGCAGCCGCCGUAACAC
rnacentral:rRNA from 1 species